rnacentral:rRNA from 1 species
CGUAACAAGGUUUCCGUAGGUGAACCUGCGAAAGGAUCAUUG